rnacentral:rRNA from 1 species
CCUACGGGUGGCAGCAGUGAGGAAUAUUGGUCAAUGGACGAGAGUCUGAACCAGCCAAGUCGCGUGAAGGAUGACUGCCCUCUGGGUUGUAAACUUCUUUUAUAUGGGAAUAAAACGUUCCACGUGUGGGAUUUUGUAUGUACCAUAUGAAUAAGGAUCGGCUAACUCCGUGCCGGCAGCCGCGGUAAUACGGAGGGUCCGAUCGUUAUCCGGAUUUAGUGGGUUUAAAGGGAGCGUAGGUGGAUUGUUAAGUCAGGUGUGAAAGUUUGCGGCUCAACCGUGAAAUUGCAGUUGAAACUGGCAGUCUUGAGUACAGGAGAGGUGGGCGGAAUUCGUGGUGUAGCGGUGAAAUGCUUAGAUAUCACGAAGAACUCCGAUGGCGAAGGCAGUUCACUGGACUGCAACUGACACUGAGGCUCGAAAGUGUGGGUAUCAAACAGGAUUAGAUACCCCAGUAGUC